rnacentral:tRNA from 1 species
GGUGACGAGGCCGAUCGGCGAGGCGCGGCUUUCAUAAGGCCGCAGUAGAAGGUUCGACCCCUUCCGUCACCACCA